GCGGGUUUAGCUCAGUUGGGAGAGCGUAGCACUGAAGACUUGCGGGGGCUUCCUCAGCAAGACAGAAUAUGCUAAGGUCGUGUGUUCGAUCCACACAAGCCGCA